rnacentral:lncRNA from 1 species
UAAUGAAUCAACUGAAUAAUAGAAGUAUCGAAACUACUAUAAACAUGAACAUAAACAUAUUUGCAGAAGUGUAAGUACUACUGUACAUUACGACUGAUACUCAUUCAUUACUAUCAAUAUCAUUUCCACUUUCAUUUUCAUUCACUAGGACCUACUCAAGGUAGUCCAGCUUGCGCCGCGCCUAAUGGCCCCGUGGUAGUAUACACUCCCCACGGCAAUCCACUUCGGCAUCCAAUCCCGCACGGGCGAGCAACUGUCGCGUAGGCCAACUCCGGAGUGCCGGCUUGUAGGGAGCUACCCUCACAAGCAUGUGCGAAUGAGCACAAUGGCAAGCAAGCAAAGUUCAUUGUCCACUUGUCACAAUCUUCAUAUUUUCAAUGCAAAGUUCUCACCCUCGAUCCUCUGAUCGGAAUUUCC